GCAUCGAAAAGUUUUUGACUGCCAUCUCUUGUUAUACUGAUCAGUAUAAACAGCAGAGUCCUGGAGACCUCAGCCAUCAAGCUUCCUUCUCCUGUUGGUCAUUCCCCAGAUGAGACAGUGCUGGGCCAGCCAAUCCGAUGAAAGCAACCCUCUACCCAACAAUUCCUGCAAUAGAAUGUAGAAAGAAAUCAGAAUAUCCUGAAAAGACCCAAGCAGUUGCCAGGAGCGGUGGCCUAGCUCUGCCUCCAAGGGAAAUGGUGUCAGUCCUGUGCUUCUCGAGCUGGAGCCCAUAAAACUGGAUGGCCGAGAACCAGAGGGCAU